AUUCGGUUCUUCAGCUCUUUUCAUGAGUUGGAUUUCCUCACUAGUCAUCAUCAAUGGCAAAGUGAAGAACAAAGAAAAAGCUUGAUCCUUACUAGGGUUAUCACAUUCCCAAUUCAUUUCUCUUCCUCUCCGUCCCUCUCGCUCGGUCGUCCCAUGGAGUCAGCGACCAGUUCAUUUUGAUCCGGAUCUAGGGAUGGGCGGGAGGUCCGACGGCGAGAACGUCCGAGAAGUCCUCUGCGACGCCCUCGCCGGAGCAUCCGCAGGGGCCAUAGCUGCGACCUUCGUCUGCCCGCUGGACGUGAUCAAGACGCGGCUUCAGGUCCGUGGCCCGUCGGAGGUGCGCCUCUACUCUUCCCGCCGUUUUGGAUAUGUAGAUCAUUCAGAGAAGACUAUUUGUUGGAUACUCUCCAUUCAAUGUUAUCAAGGAAGAAUUGUUAUUGGCAACAUCAUUAUUUCAAGCCUAAAACAAAUCAUAAAAAAUGAAGGUGUGAGUGGUUUAUAUCGUGGACUCACUCCAACUGUUACUGCACUUCUUCCAACCUGGACUGUGUAUUUUACUGUUUAUAAUCAGCUGAAAAGCUUGCUUCAUUCACAUGUGGAUGAAAAUAAGGAGCAUUCAAUUGGUGCAAAUGUGCUUGCUGCUGCAGGCGCAGGAGCUGCAACGGCUAUUACCACCAAUCCAUUAUGGGUUGUUAAAACUAGACUUCAAACUCAGGGAAUGAGGGAUGAUGUGGAGCCAUAUAAAAGCAUGUUAUCUGCUUUAAGAAGGAUUACACUUGAAGAGGGAAGGAAAGGUCUAUACAGUGGGCUUCUUCCUUCGUUAGUGGGGAUUAGCCAUGUUGCUAUCCAGUUUCCAUCAUAUGAAAAGAUCAAGUCUUACUUGGCACGAAAAGAAAACACUUCCGUGGAUAGGCUUAGUCCCAGUGAUGUAGCUAUUGCUUCUUCCCUAUCUAAAAUAAUUGCAUCAACUUUGACGUAUCCACAUGAGGUCAUACGAGCCAGGCUACAAGAACAAGGUCAUGCACGCAACAAUAGCAACAAAUAUGCAGGGGUAACAGACUGCAUUAGGAAGGUAUUCUACAAAGAAGGCAUCUCUAGUUUUUACCGUGGCUAUGCUACAAACUUGCUGAGAACUACCCCUGCUGCUGUUAUUACAUUUACAAGUUACGAGAUGAUUCAUCGGUUUUGCCUCCAAGUAAUCUCUACCUGACCAGAAGCAUAGAGAAAGCCUGAAAACCAUCCAUUUGACAGAUUGGUUGAAUAAGGCAACAAGAAGCACCGGGCAAAGAUACUGCAACCAUCAAUUUGAAGUUUUGAAGAAAUACCUAACUGCAGAUAGGGCCUCGCCUUUGAGAUUGACAAGUCAAAAAUAUCCAAUUAUCUGAUUCUCCAUGUGAACAAAAUAAUUCAAGGCAUUGGCGAAACGGGCGUUGCUGCCAGCAUCGAAAAGCACGAAGAAAGACGAAGGGAAGCGAGACGAAGACAGCGGAGGUUCCGAAUGGACUAUGCAGUCCUUGUUAGCUCUUUUUGUGAACAGAGGACAUCGUGUUCAUUUGGAGCAACGCAUGAUUGGCAGUAUCCCUGGGACCGCGUCCAUAGAAGAACUGAAGCUGGCCAAGAUCCUGGGGAAGAUUGAGUCGAGCAGCGAAACGGUCGACGAAAAGUUAAUGGCCCAGUACUUUCUGAAUUGGUCCAGGGCAUGCAGUCGGUUGGGACCAACUCCAAACCUAUCGAAAUUUAGACUCCUUUAAACGCUGAGAAAGAACAAAAAAACACUAGGCUUUUAAACUC